AGAACGCAAUUAUACUAAUUUUAAGCAUUGCAAUAGAAAUAAUUUUUAACAUUGCAAUAGAAAUCAGCAAUGGCACACUAAACUGAUUGGCUAAUCAAAUUGCUCACUUAAGGAACACGUGAGACUGCACGUGAUAAUUUCCACCUGUAGAGCACUACAACUGAGAAUCCUCAAUUGGCUUGGUUGGUGAGGAGCAGGUGGUGGUGGUGGUGGAGAAGCUUGACGAUGAGACCGCAGCCUGCCUUAGAUGAUGAUAAUGGCGGAGAAGCAGCGUAGCCGUUGGAUCUCCCUUGGGCCAUGUCUGCCAUUUUCUACCGUGAUAAAUAAUUGGCUAUGCAAGGUGAUGGACAUGCACCUAAAUAUAUUGGCCAAGCAGCACAUAGAAACAUGUUUGUGAAGAUCCAUGCUGAGAAAAGUCCAUUCUUGGCGGAGAAGCUUAAAGGUCCUUGUUCUUCCAACACUUGCCCUUUUAAAGAAAACCAAAGUGGAUGAUUAUGUGGUGGGCUUUGAUCAACUUGGUGGAACAGAUGAGUUCAUCACAGAGGAGUUGGAGGAGAGGUUGGAUAAAGCUCAUCUCUUUUGAGGGUGAAUCAUCCUCCCUAUCGAAGUCUAGCAUGCGCACCAGGAGCGUAUUGCAAAACCAAGGUCAGACUCAUCAGCUCAGAUUAAAACUGCAUUAUAAAUUGUAGCAAUAUUUUUGGUUCAGUGGUGGAAAGUAGAUACGUUCGCAUUAUCCUUCAUCAUAUGGAACAGUGGAAAAACGUUCAUAAUACUACAGCUUGCUCCAAGUUAACAAGCUAACUUCCCUAAGCAACAACUUAGAAGACAAGAAUCUUACCCAAAAAUAAAAAAUAAAAAAAAAAAGCAAGCAGACAAGAAAAUAUUAAGCUAACUAGGCUAGGAAACAAUGUAUAUAUAAUACUCUGCAACAUGUACCACUUAUACAGGCUGCUGCUUAGAAGCACGAGCUUGUUGCAGAACCCUUUUCCAGUGUGGUUGUUGGCUGUGCAGAGAUUUCUCUGUGAAUUAGAAUGAGUCAAAAAAAGAACAUUGUUACUAGACCCUGUUUGGAAGAAAAUAAAGAAAAUCAAAAAGGGUCAGCUAACAAAUCUUAAUGAAGGUUUUCAAUCUCUA